CCUACGGGCGACAGCAGUGGGGAAUAUUGCACAAUGGGGGGAACCCUGAUGCAGCGACGCCGCGUGAGUGAAGAAGUAUUUCGGUAUGUAAAGCUCUAUCAGCAGGGAAGAAAAUGACGGUACCUGACUAAGAAGCACCGGCUAACUACGUGCCAGCAGCCGCGGUAAUACGUAGGGGGCAAGCGUUAUCCGGAUUUACUGGGUGUAAAGGGAGCGCAGACGGCUGUGCAAGUCUGGAGUGAAAGGCGGGGGCCCAACCCCCGGACUGCUCUGGAAACUGUAAAGCUGGAGUGCAGGAGAGGUAAGCGGAAUUCCUAGUGUAGCGGUGAAAUGCGUAGAUAUCAGGAGGAACACCGGCGGCGAAGGCGGCCUGCUGGACUGAAACUGACGUUGAGGCUCGAAAGCGUGGGGAGCAAACAGGAUUAGAUACCCGGGUAGUC
rnacentral:rRNA from 1 species